GUUGGGUGGUGAUGCUCCCGAUGGAACAGCAUGUUUUGCUCAGGUUGUGAAGAAGCUAGUUCACACCAGUGGUGGAGAAUCUUCUGCCAGUGGUGGUGAAUCAUCUGAAGAUGAAGAUUCGUCUGGAUACAGUAGAAGUGUUGAUGAAGAAUCAUCCAAUUCUGGUGAUGAUGAUGUGGGUGAGACAUCUAAUGUUUCGGAUGAUAUUGACAUUGAUGAACUCUUGGGGGAAGCUGUAGCAGAAACUCAAAGAAGAUCUAUUCUGGUGGAUCAAGCUGCUUAUUCUUCGUCUUCUCUCCAUUCAGCCUUUAUGGCUAAUGUCGACGGUUCAUCAAGUCAGGGUGCUUCAGGAGGAACUAUCAGUAGUCAUUGGAUUGUUGAUAGUGGGGCGUCCAGGCACAUGA
rnacentral:lncRNA from 1 species